GAGGAAGGCUGUAAAAAUUUGUUGUCAGUGGUCAGCUCCCAGUCCUGUAGUCUGAGAGAACUGGACCUGAGUACCAACAGCCUGAAGGCUUCAGCAGUAAAGCUUCUGUCUGCUGCAGUGGAGAGUCCACAUGCCAGACUGAAUAUUCUGAGACCUAACAUCUGUGAACUCUCAGAGGAAAACUGUGAAGCUCUGUCCUCAGUUCUCAGCUCACAGUCCUCUAGUCUGACAGAGCUGGACCUGAGUAUCAGAAAGCUGCAGGAUUCAGGAGUGAAGCUUCUGUCUGCUGGACUACAAAGUUUAAA